AACCCCCUUCAAGAUAGAAUCUUUUUCAUUUAGUUAGUCUUCUUAUCUGAACUCUUCAAAAGAGCCACAGAACUCCAACCUGGCGGAUGAGAUAUACCUCCGAUGCCUUAGAGUGAUACCUAGUAUCUUGGCUCCGGCCUCGAUGGUGAUGAUCUCGACCCUUUUGAGCGUCUGGCUUCGGUCGGCUUGACUGGGUAGGCAUUGGCAGGCUUCUGACAGGC
rnacentral:snoRNA from 1 species